rnacentral:rRNA from 1 species
AUUGAACGCUGGCGGCAGGCCUAAAACAUGCAAGUCGAGCGAGCGGCGGACGGGUGAGUAAUGUAUGGGAAACUGCCUGAUGGAGGUGGAUAACUAAUGUAAACGGUAGCUAAUACCGCAUACCAUCAGAUGUGCCCAGAUGGGAUUAGAUAGUAGGUGGGGUAAUGGCUCACCUAGGCGACGAUCCCUAGCUGGUCUGAGAGGAUGACCAGCCACACUGGAACUGAUACACGUUCCAGACUCCUACGGGAGGCAGCAGUGGGGAAUCUUGCACAAUGGGCGCAAGCCUGAUGCAGCCAUGCCGCGUGUGUGAAGCAGGCCUUCGGGUUGUAAAGCACUUUCAGCGAGGAGGCGUUACUCGCAGAAGAAGCACCGGCUAACUCCGUGCCAGCAGCCGCGGUAAUAC